CCUACGGGGGGCAGCAGUGGGGAAUAUUGCACAAUGGGGGAAACCCUGAUGCAGCGACGCCGCGUGAGUGAAGAAGUAUUUCGGUAUGUAAAGCUCUAUCAGCAGGGAAGAAAAAAGACGGUACCUGACUAAGAAGCCCCGGCUAACUACGUGCCAGCAGCCGCGGUAAUACGUAGGGGGCAAGCGUUAUCCGGAUUUACUGGGGGUAACGGGAGCGUAGACGGCGCGGCAAGUCUGAAGUGAAAGGCAGGGGCUUAACCCCUGACCUGCUUUGGAAACUGCCAUGCUAGAGUGCUGGAGAGGUAAGUGGAAUUCCUAGUGUAGCGGUGAAAUGCGUAGAGAUUAGGAGGAACAUCGGUGGCGAAGGCGGCUUACUGGGCUUUUACUGACGCUGAGGCUCGAAAGCGUGGGGAGCAAACAGGAUUAGAUACCCCAGUAGUC
rnacentral:rRNA from 1 species